GCGGGAGAGUCAAAACAUCGCCAUUUUAGAAAUUAUUCUUUUUCUUGCUGAUAUCUGUCAACUCUGGAUGAAUUAUUCUGUAGAGAUGUAGUUGAAUGAUGAAUAUUUAGGCGAAGAGUAGUAAGAAUGAUAUUCGCUGUACAUGAAUGAACGAUGGAGUCAGAAUAAGGGUUACUCUACUGCAAAAAUUGGAACCUAAAAAUGAAAGAUGGCUGACAAUCUUUUUUGCCAAAAACUUCCAGUGUUGAUAAAGUACUCGGAUCUUGAAGAAAGAAAAUGCUCAAUACAAGUGUCUGUUGAUGUCCAGAUUGCUACCUCUCCCCACCAUAGAAAGGAGUUGGUGAUCAGACUGACUGAUGAAAAUGAUUUGUUUUUUCUGUAUACAUUGAAGCUGAAUGAAGAGGAUUUCCAAAGUCUUAAAAGUCAACAGGGUCUAUUGGUAGACUUCAGUUCUUUCCCCCAGAGUGUCAUAGAUCUGCUGGAACUGUGUCUCAAGGAAGAGGCUAAUACAGUGCCCAAGUUUGUGCUGCAUUUGGUGACUACAUCAAAGUUGGGUGUUAAUUCUGGUCCCUCUCACCUGAAUGUUGUUGAGACUAACCCAUUCAAACACCUCACCCACCUCUCCCUCAAGUUGCUACCUGGAUCAGACACAGACAUUAAGAAGUACCUUGCAACAUGUCUUAGUCAACUAAAGGAGUAUACCACUAAACUAGAGCGCAGUGCUGAAAACAAGGAAUCAGACCUAACACAGAGGCUUGCACAGACCCAACAGGCACUGUCAGCCAGGACUAGAGAACUGGAUAGCUUGAAAGUAGAGUGGGAGUCCCGCACCAGUGAGCUCUCAUCAAGACUAAGUAAAGACAUCAACACAGAGCGUGAACGAGCUGUACAGAUUCAGAGCAGUAGUCAUCAGAAGUAUGAGAGAGAGAAGAGGGAGUUAGAACAGGCACACAUGCAGAUUGUGAAACAAUUAGAGACUAGGGCCUAUGACUUGGAGUCAAAAAACAAGGAUUUGAUGGACCGUAAAUACCAGGCCGAGUCUUCAAUAAGAGAUCUCAAAUCAAAGCUUUCCAGUAUUGAAGAAGAACAUGUGAGAGCAAAACAAGAACUUCAGUCUUUACGGAAACACAACUCUUCCCUUGAUGGUGACAGAUAUGAACAGGAAAAGGUACUAAACCAAGCAAGGACCAGAAUAGCUGUGUUAGAACAAGAGGUGAAGGAUAAAGACCAAGUGAUGUCACGCUCCAAUGAUUUACUAAGCCUUGAACAGGAUCAAAAGAAAAAGUGUGAGGAAGAACUAGAAAAGAAGUCUCGUCAUGUUAGCAAACUGGAACAAUCUGUGAAAGUCAUGUCAGAUGAAAUGGUGAAAGCCAAUGAGAUUAUAAAGAAACUUCAAGGAGAAAUCAGGAAUUACCAUGGAAAGCUGAAACUCCGUAACCAAGUGACGACAGAGCAGGAAAAUAUCUUGGGUGAAAAAUCUAAAGAAAUAGACAAUCUCAAGAAAGACCUGGAAACAACACAAAGAAAUCUCAAGCAGAAAGAAGAAGAGUAAAUGAAUCACUAGAGAAUACCAUGAAGAAACUGGAGGAAAGUAAACAACUACUAAAGACAAAUGAAAAUGUGAUAAAUUGGUUGAACAAACAAGUGACAGAACAGCAGAUGUCUCAUACAAGAACAGGCACAUUUGAGAUGCAUAGCGCAAAUAACAGUGCUGCCACCUUUAGGCCAACUAGCACAGGACUGCACAACUUCAGCAGUGGUAGCUACAGUACAGGGGUGACUCAGGCAUCUCUGGGGAAUGCUGGGAAUAAUUUACAAGUACCCCCGUCAAGGCAGCCUCAGGUGCAGUUCCAACCAGGGUUAUCGAGACCAUCAGCUGUGACCCUCAGUCGUACCAGCCCCAUACCACCAAUACCCGAAGAGAUCUCCCCCAAAACUUCACCAACACCGCAUCGCAAUAAGGAAAAUGAUCCACCACUGGAUCCAAAGUACCUGCAGAAAUCCUCUAGCAACAAGACUGUUCCUGUCUCCUUGGCAACUGGUAGUACCAGAUUGAGUAAACAGGGAAUAAUACCCAACACAAGGCCUGCUUUGGUCGCCAAACAACCAACACUGGCCUCUGCAUAUUUCCCAUCUCAGGCACGGACUUAACAUUAAGGCAGCUAUUUCAGGAAUGACCUUAAAACUGACAGUCCUGGCUUGAUUGUUUCACAAAUGACAACUCUCAAUUUGUAAAAGAGCCUCUGCAUUUUCACAUACUCAAUUUUGAUAUAAAUAAUUCCAGAAUAUGGGUGAUGAUGAUCAAGUAUAUCUCAAACUUCAAAAUUAACUACCUCCUUUUGAUUCAUGUAAAAGGGAAAUGAUGUGUUUAAGUUGUAGUGAUGGUCCCUCCAUUUACACAUUACUUACAUUACCACAUUGCCAAAUAUCAACAGGAGAACAAAGCAUAUAUUGUAUAAAAUGAAAUUUAUUUUGAGCAAUUUCUAAAGCACAAUUUGUGCAUAAACCUUGAACAAUUUGAACUCGUAAUACUGUUGAAAUAUUUACUAUGUUUCAAUAUCAUUGUGAUUUUCAAGGGAAGUUGAGAUUUCAUCCAUUGCUCAGUUUUUGUUUGUGGUAUAACUACAAGGGCCAUUACUUGGAUAAAGUGUGGUUCGUGAUUUGUAAUAAUGAUCAAUUGAAUCUCAAUGAUUCUCAACUUACAUGACGUAAGCUUACAUGAAAUUUCAAGAUAAAUCACGAAAUACACCAAGAGAAUUCUCUUGUAUCCUGGCCAUGU
rnacentral:misc_RNA from 1 species